GGUUGGAUCAUUACCGAAUAAUUUUGUGGUUGAGAAGCUUUGAAAAGAGCAACUCCUACAAAAUCAACACUAUGUGCACUUAUGAUGUUUUUUGGGUCUUUCUUUAUUGAGGGCCCAGCAUUUUAACAAACCAUAUCAAUUUGACUUAUAUCUCUAUGAAAAUAGAAACAACUUUUGACAACGGAUCUCUUGGCUCUCGCAACGAUGAAGAACGCAGCGAAAUGCGAUACGUAAUGUGAAUUGCUUUCCGUGAAUCAUCAAAUCUUUGAACGCAUAUUGCACUCAUUUAGAGUAUGCCUGUUUGAGAAUCUAUAGUAAAUCUUAUUCCUUUUGUGACUGUGCAAAUAGAAACACUAGCGAAUAGAUAUGAAGCAUCCCUCCUCUUGUAGAAGGGUUCUUUGAAAUAGAUUGCUUGUAAUUUUAGAAGAAUGCUUGACAUUCCUCAUUAACCUUGCAGAAACGUAUGUGAAUGGAACUUUUGUUUCUCAUUAUGCCUAAUACGUAAGGGAGGAGUUUAGUUUGACUAUUAUUAGGAGUUCUUAACCGUAAAUUGUUUUAUUACAGUUUGAACACAUGGUCUCAAAUCAGGUAGGAAGACCCGCUGAACUUAAGCAUAUCAAUAAGCGGAGGAAAAGAAACUAACAAGGAUUCCCCUAGUAACGGCGAGUGAAGCGGGAACAGCUCAAAUUUGAAAUCUCCUUCGGGCGAAUUGUAGUUUAGAGAAACGUUUUCUGUCACUAAGUAGGUACAAGUUCUUUGGAACAAGACAUCACAGAGGGUGAAAAUCCCGUCUUUGACCUACCCAACGGCUUUGUGAUACGUUUUCCAAGAGUCGGUUUGUUUGGGAAUGCAGACCAAAAUGGGUGGUAAAUACCAUCUAAAGCUAAAUAUUGGCGAGAGACCGAUAGCGAACAAGUACCGUGAGGGAAAGAUGAAAAGAACUUUGAAAAGAGAGUUAAACAGUACGUGAAAUUGUCAAAAGGGAAACGUUUGAAACCAGUAUUGCCGGCAGGAAUUCAGCUUCUAUUUAUAGUGGUGUAUUUUCUUGUCGGCGAGUCAACAUCAGUUUGGGGUGGAGCAAAAAGCUAUGGAAAGGUAGCCUUCGGGUGUUAUAGUCCAUGGUCAUACUCCAGCCUAGACUGAGGACUGCGCUUCGGCUAGGAUGUUGACGAAAUGGUUUUAAGCGACCCGUCUUGAAACACGGACCAAGGAGUCUAACAUAUAUGCGAGUAUUUGGGUGUCAAACCCUUAUGCGUAAUGAAAGUGAAAAGGUGGGAUCCUUAAGGGUGCACCAUCGACCGCGCCAGAUUAUUACUAUCUCGGCGUGAGUAUGAGCAUACAUGCUGGGACCCGAAAGAUGGUGAACUAUGCCUGAAUAGGGUGAAGCCAGAGGAAACUCUGGUGGAGGCUCGUAGUGGUUCUGACGUGCAAAUCGAUCAUAAAAUUUGGGUAUAGGGGCGAAAGACUAAUCGAACCAUCUAGUAGCUGGUUCCCUC
rnacentral:misc_RNA from 1 species